rnacentral:tmRNA from 1 species
GGGGAUGUUAUGGCUUCGACAGGAAUAGUAGAGCAUAAAUAGCAAGUCGAGUUGCUUACGUUACAAGCCAAACCAGAAUAACUGGAAACAAAGUUAAAAACGUACUUGCUAACCUAAAGAGUAGACUUACUCCACAGGUAGCAUUUGCCUAAGAAUAGGGAAAGUACACUGUCUUUCUUAAUUUCCUGUGUUAAGAUUGUACGGUUCAUUUAACAGGAUAUAGCUAUUUGUAGUCCGAGCAAGUAGUAGAAAUCUUAGGACUAGAAUGAUUGUUUGGUUGAUUGUUUCUUGGCAGUCAUUCGAAAUAAAAUAAACAAUCUAAACUUGUAGAAGUUUAUGUAGCUCUAUUUUUGGACAGGGGUUCGAAUCCCCUCAUCUCCACCA